rnacentral:rRNA from 1 species
CCUACGGGCGGCAGCAGUGAGGAAUAUUGGUCAAUGGGCGCUAGCCUGAACCAGCCAAGUAGCGUGAAGGAUGACUGCCCUAUGGGUUGUAAACUUCUUUUAUAUGGGAAUAAAGUGCAGUAUGUAUACUGCUUUGCAUGUACCUUAUGAAUAAGGAUCGGCUAAUUCCGUGCCAGCAGCCGCGGUAAUACGGAGGAUUCGAGGGUUAUCCGGAUUUAUUGGGUUUAAAGGGAGCGUAGGCGGGUUGUUAAGUCAGUUGUGAAAGUUUUCGGCUCAACCGUAAAAUUGCAGUUGAUACUGGCAGCCUUGAGUACAGUAGAGGUAGGCGGAAUUCGUGGUGUAGCGGUGAAAUGCUUAGAUAUCACGAAGAACUCCGAUUGCGAAGGCAGCCUGCUGGACUGUAACUGACGCUGAUGCUCGAAAGUGUGGGUAUCAAACAGGAUUAGAUACCCCUGUAGUC